UAGAGCUACCUGCGCCCUGACAUGCGCUAGCAUGUGCCCCAUCUGCGCGGGCGAAUGCCCAAUUUCUUGAAAAUGGGCCACUUUUGGGCCCAUGUUUGUAAUAAUAGCCCAUGGCUAUAUAUAGUAGUAGGUCUCUUUCAUUUUAGUUAGUUUUUUGUUGAAUU